UACAGAGGGUGCAAGCGUUGUUCGGAAUUACUGGGCGUAAAGCGCGUGUAGGCGGCGAUGUAAGUCGGGUGUGAAAUCCCUCGGCUCAACCGAGGAAGUGCACUCGAUACUGUGUCGCUUGAGUGUUGGAGGGGAUGGCGGAAUUCCCGGUGUAGAGGUGAAAUUCGUAGAUAUCGGGAGGAACACCUGUGGCGAAGGCGGCCAUCUGGACAACUACUGACACUGAGACGCGAAAGCGUGGGUAGCAAACAGG
rnacentral:rRNA from 1 species